rnacentral:rRNA from 1 species
AACGAACGCUGGCGGCGCGUCUUAAGCAUGCAAGUCGAGCGGCAAGGUAGCAAUACCCUAGAGCGGCGGACUGGUGAGUAACACGUGGGUGAUCUACCUUUAGGUUGGGGAUAGCCAUUAGAAAUAGUGGGUAAUACCGAAUGCGGUGGCGAACUUGAGGGUUCGUCAAGAAAGGAGCUACGGCUCCGCCUGAAGAUGAGCCCGCGGCUCAUUAGCUAGUUGGGGGUGUAACGGACCACCAAGGCGAUGAUGAGUAGCCGGCCUGAGAGGGUGAACGGCCACACUGGGACUGAGAUACGGCCCAGACUCCUACGGGAGGCAGCAGCUAAGAAUAUUCCGCAAUGGACGAAAGUCUGACGGAGCGAGGCCGCGUGGAUGACGAAGGCCGAAAGGUUGUAAAGUCCUUUUGUCGAUGAAGAAUAAGUGCGGUAGGGAAUGACCGUAUGAUGACGUUAGUCGGCGAAUAAGCCCCGGCUAAUUACGUGCCAGCCGCCGCCGUAAAAC